AUCUGAAUGACCAUAUUGGGGACCACAUGGUUUGGCUUCUAGGUACACAUAUGUGGGCAUUUCCUGUAGAAGCUGCUUUUCCUGAAUAAUGAGCUAUUUGAAACUGAAAUAUGCUUACCUCUUGUCAUCACUGAGAUGUUGACAUAAGGGUGUCUUUUAUUCCAAGUAUUCCAAGUAGUUACAUGGAAAUAAACCCUCCCUUUCUUUUGAGUAUUUGGCCUGAAAGUCCAGUUUAACAGCCCAUUCCUAGACACUGGGGAUAUAUAAGGUGAAAUGUCCAGCUGUUAAGUGAAUUGGUAUGGUAUGGUGGCUAGUUCCAAAUGAAAUGGCUAAGCUUCACCCCUUUGAACACUCAACUUCUCAGUGUUGCUGGGUUAGGGUCUCCCCGACCAAGCUGGUCUCGGCCAGUGGCGUCCAUUUUUGGGGGCUCAAAUCCAGGUCGAAGGGUCACUGGAGCGACGGUUGGAGAAUGUGGAACUAGCUGGAAGACACCCGAGUACUCUUAAAGCAAUCCCUGUGAUGGGCCUAGCAAUGGUAAAGCUUCUUAUUCUGGAUCAAAAAGCAAAGUUUUCCAGAUGCCCUAUACUUCAGCUCAAAAAUUGGAGCUUGUAGCUGUAAUUGAG
rnacentral:lncRNA from 10 species